rnacentral:rRNA from 1 species
GAUGAACGCUGGCGGCGUGCCUAAUACAUGCAAGUCGAGCGAACAGACGAGGAGCUUGCUCCUCUGACGUUAGCGGCGGACGGGUGAGUAACACGUGGAUAACCUACCUAUAAGACUGGGAUAACUUCGGGAAACCGGAGCUAAUACCGGAUAAUAUAUUGAACCGCAUGGUUCAAUAGUGAAAGACGGUUUUGCUGUCACUUAUAGAUGGAUCCGCGCCGCAUUAGCUAGUUGGUAAGGUAACGGCUUACCAAGGCGACGAUGCGUAGCCGACCUGAGAGGGUGAUCGGCCACACUGGAACUGAGACACGGUCCAGACUCCUACGGGAGGCAGCAGUAGGGAAUCUUCCGCAAUGGCGAAAGCCUGACGGAGCAACGCCGCGUGAGUGAUGAAGGUCUUCGGAUCGUAAAACUCUGUUAUUAGGGAAGAACAAAUGUGUAAGUAACUAUGCACGUCUUGACGGUACCUAAUCAGAAAGCCACGGCUAACUACGU